UACAGAGGGGGCACGCGUUAUUGGGAAUUACUGGGCAUAAAGAGCGCGUAGGCGGCUUGGGAAGUCUGAUGUGAAAGCCCUGGACCCAAUUCCGGAUGUGCAUUGGAUACUGCUAGACUAGAGUACAGGAGGGGAGAACGGAAUUCCUGGUGUAGAGGUGAAAUUCGUAGAAAUCAUGAGGAGCAACAGUGGCGAAGGCGGCUCUCUGGACUGUUACUGACGCUGAGGCGCGAAAGCGUGGGGAGUAAACAGG
rnacentral:rRNA from 1 species